UACGUAGGGGGCAAGCGUUGUCCGGAAUCAUUGGGCGUAAAGCGCGUGUAGGCGGUUACGUAAGUCUGCUGUGAAAGUCGGAGGCUCAACCUUCGAAAGCCGGUGGAUACUGCGUGACUAGAGUACGGAAGAGGAGAGUGGAAUUCCUGGUGUAGCGGUGAAAUGCGCAGAUAUCAGGAGGAACACCGAUGGCGAAGGCAGGUCUCUGGGCAACAACUGACGCUGAGGAGCGAAAGCGUGGGGAGCGAACAGG
rnacentral:rRNA from 1 species